GAUGAACGCUGGCGGCGUGCCUAACACAUGCAAGUCGAACGAAGCACUUUGAAGUUUUCGGACGAAUAAGUGACUGAGUGGCGGACGGGUGAGUAACGCGUGGGUAACCUGCCUCAUACAGGGGGAUAACAGUUAGAAAUGACUGCUAAUACCGCAUAAGCGCACAGAGCUGCAUGGCUCAGUGGGAAAAACUCCGGUGGUAUGAGAUGGACCCGCGUCUGAUUAGCUAGUUGGUAAGGUAACGGCUUACCAAGGCGACGAUCAGUAGCCGACCUGAGAGGGUGACCGGCCACAUUGGGACUGAGACACGGCCCAAACUCCUACGGGAGGCAGCAGUGGGGAAUAUUGCACAAUGGGGGAAACCCUGAUGCAGCAACGCCGCGUGAAGGAUGAAGGUUUUCGGAUCGUAAACUUCUAUCAACAGGGAAGAAACAAAUGACGGUACCUGAAUAAGAAGCCCCGGCUAACUACGUGCCAGCCGCCGCCGUAACAC
rnacentral:rRNA from 1 species